ACUGGGUCCUUGAUAACUAUAUAUCUAAAACGCAGUAAAUGAAAUUCAUUGAAUCUAGCAAACGUACUUGGGUGAAAGGGUAAUAGAUAGUAUCUCUAGACAAAAGUUACAUGUAUGAUGGCAAAUCCAAAUGCAAUAUCUUUGAUGGGUAGUGCGGAGGGAUCCAGUUGUACUAAGGCAGAAAAGUUUCUAGCUACUGAUUUGUGAGCAUGUCGAAGAAGUAUAUAUCUACUGAAACUUUUGACUAAAUGAAAAGCAGCAUUCUUACAUUUGGUGUAGAGAGCAUUUCAU